rnacentral:rRNA from 1 species
GACGAACGCUGGCGGCGUGCUUAGCACAUGCAAGUCGAACGGAAAGGCCCUGCUUUUGUGGGGUGCUCGAGUGGCGAACGGGUGAGUAACACGUGAGUAACCUGCCCUUGACUUUGGGAUAACUUCAGGAAACUGGGGCUAAUACCGGAUAGGAGCUCCUGCUGCAUGGUGGGGGUUGGAAAGUUUCGGCGGUUGGGGAUGGACUCGCGGCUUAUCAGCUUGUUGGUGGGGUAGUGGCUUACCAAGGCUUUGACGGGUAGCCGGCCUGAGAGGGUGACCGGCCACAUUGGGACUGAGAUACGGCCCAGACUCCUACGGGAGGCAGCAGUGGGGAAUAUUGCACAAUGGGCGGAAGCCUGAUGCAGCAACGCCGCGUGCGGGAUGACGGCCUUCGGGUUGUAAACCGCUUUCGCCAGUGACGAAGCGUGAGUGACGGUAAUGGGUAAAGAAGCACCGGCUAACUACGUG